AGACAGUGUUUUUCCGUGUAACUCCAGCUGACCUGGAACUUGCUCUGCCUCGAACUCACAGAGAUCCUCCUGCCUCUGCCUCCCCAGUGCUGGGAUUAAAGGCAUGCGUCACCAAUGCCUGGCUUUGGCCGGCUUCUAACAGGACUUCCGUCAGCUUGAUCUUUGGGGACAACAGGUCUUAUCAGGGUCCAAGGAAGGUGUUUGGGGCUAGACUGCAUCUCACUGGGUGGGGAAAGGAGUUUAGGGCCAAAUUGUGGUUAUGUGUUUGUUUGGUUUUCUCUUUCCUUCACGAAGAGCAAUGAGCAUGACUUAUAAAAGUGAAAAGAAAAAACGGUCCCUCUCAUUUCCAUCUUGGUGGCCUGGAAUAGAAGCUUGAUUUGCAUACGUGGGGACUGGAAGCGUGCUAAGAAGGCCCGGUUUGCUCCCCGAGGCGGAAAUAGAAAGGAUCACUCUCCACACUGAGCCUGCUGUGGUGACAGCUGCUAGGUUUGUCGUUUUGUUCUGUUUCUGUCUUUUUUGUGACGGGCUUCACUGUGUUGUCCUGCAACUCACCAUGUAGACCAGGCUGGCUUAGAACUCAGACAGAAAUCCUACUGCAUCUGCCUCCUAAGUGCUAGAAUUGAAGGUGCCCAACCAGGACUGGCACCAUACACACACACACACACACACACACACACACACACACACACACACGCGCGCGUGCGCACACACACGCACGCACGCACGCACACUUUUAUUUUAAAGAUAGGGUUCACUGUAGCCCAGCACCUUUGAGCCUCCUGUCUCUAACUCCAAGGAGCCACCACAGCCACUGAUGCUUUCCAUUCUAACAGCCUAGAGCGACCUCUCACCCUCUGUCCCUGCAGGACGGUGGCUUACACUCCGGAUUCCAACAGCCUGCAGUGCUGCUCACUCGUGCGCUCUCUGUCCCUGCGGGAGGGGUGGCUGUGUUCUUCCUGUACCUGGUUUUAUCCUCCUGGCCUGCCACAGUGCCAGCAACCACACAUCCUCUGAGAUUUGUGAGGGGACAAGGGGCAGCCUUCAGAACCCUCCUUAGCAGGACUUCAUCAGCAGUGCCGAGCAGAGGCCAUGGGCUGAGGGGACAGGAAGGCGGGACGGCCUCUGCCCAGAAAUGAGGAAAUGGUAGUUUGGUCUGUGCCUCGUCCGUCUGAGACCUCCGUCAACACCACCCUGCACCUCCCUUAGGCAGAACAGAAGGGGAUGCCCAGGGACACAGGGUGAAGGGACAAGACAGGACACGGAGGGUCUGUCCUAUGUUCCAGGCUGGCUUUGAGCUCACUAUGUACCUGAGGGUAGCCUGGAACUCCUGACCUUCCUCCCUCCACUGGGAUUACAGGCGCUGCACCGUCAGCCUGGUUUAAAUGAAAGCUCUCCUCACACCAGGGAGCCCCACUGCAGGCAAGUUGACAGGAAUCAGGGGCCAGGAGGGAUGGCUCAGAGGUACAGUGCUUGCUGUGCAAGCGUGAGACCUAAGUUCCGGUCCCCGGCGCCCACCAAAGAAGGCGGGUGUGGAGCAGGGUAGAGAAAGGUGGGUUUCUGGACCUAGCCAGACAGUCUAACUGGAACAGCAAGCUUCAGGCCGGAGAGAGAGAGAGAGAAAGAGAGAGAGAGAGAGACAGAGAGACAGAGAGACAGAGACAGAGAGACAGAGAGAGCCUUUGCUUCAAAAACUAAGGUAGGGAAGUGACUGAAGAAGACACCUCAACACCUCAACGUCUUGCCUUAAUGUCUGACUUCCAUAUGCAUCCACAAUGACAACUGCACACACACACACACACUCUCUCUCUCUCACAUGUUCACACGCAUUCACACACAUACGCACAUACAAUUUCUUUCAUGCACAUACAAUUUUCUUUCACGCACAUGCAUGCGCAUGCACACACACACACACACCACACCAAUGGAAUCCAGGUGAUGUCCUAACAGGGUCAGCCAUACAAGCAUGUUAGUCUAUGGGGCUGUUAUGGAUAUCCUGUUCAGCCCCCACCCCCACCCCCACCCACUGCCCCAACACACACACACACACACUCACACAUACACACGCACGCACACACUCAUGCACACACUCACACACUCAUAGCACACACACACGCACGCAUGCACACACACACUCGCACACACGCACAUACACACACUCACGCGCACACACCUUCUCCCUCUCUCCCUCUGGUGCUUCUGCCUUCAGGUCUCUCAGGACUCUCUACUUCCUCCAAGCUCUUCCCGUGGUGUCUGCAGGAGACUCACCCAGCGUGGCCACCAAGAGCAGCCAAAGGAGCUUCAUGUCUCUGCAGGGAUGGGGCUGUGUGGGGCCUCUGGCUCAGGCUGUCAAAAGCCUCCUCAUCUGGCCCCUCCACCCUAAGGCCCCUGGGUGCUCCUUGGGUGGUUGCCUGCAGCUAGGAGAUAAUCUGAAGGUUGUGGUUACCCAGGGGCCCCUGACACUCUGCAGGGCUAGCUCCAGGGAUGUCACCUGUGGGGGAGGGAGUGAGGACGUGCCUACUGAGUUCCAGAUGGCAUUAACACAAGGGUUUUCUUUUUUUUUUAAUUUUUUUGCUUUUUCGAGACAGGGUUUCUCUGUGGCUUUGGAGGCCGUCCUGGAACUCGCUCUGUAGACCAAGCUGGCCUCGAACUCAUAGAG